rnacentral:rRNA from 1 species
UACGUAGGGACCAAGCGUUGUUCGGAUUUACUGGGCGUAAAGGGCGCGUAGGCGGCGCGGUAAGUCGCUUGUGAAAUCUCUGAGCUUAACUCAGAACGGCCAAGUGAUACUGCAGUGCUAGAGUGUGGAAGGGGCAAUCGGAAUUCUUGGUGUAGCGGUGAAAUGCGUAGAUAUCAAGAGGAACACCUGAGGUGAAGACGGGUUGCUGGGCCAACACUGACGCUGAUGCGCGAAAGCCAGGGGAGCAAACGGG